rnacentral:rRNA from 1 species
AGUGAACGCUGGCGGUAGGCCUAACACAUGCAAGUCGAACGGCAGCACAGUAAGAGCUUGCUCUUACGGGUGGCGAGUGGCGGACGGGUGAGGAAUACAUCGGAAUCUACUUUUUCGUGGGGGAUAACGUAGGGAAACUUACGCUAAUACCGCAUACGACCUACGGGUGAAAGCAGGGGAUCUUCGGACCUUGCGCGAUUGAAUGAGCCGAUGUCGGAUUAGCUAGUUGGCGGGGUAAAGGCCCACCAAGGCGACGAUCCGUAGCUGGUCUGAGAGGAUGAUCAGCCACGCUGGAACUGAGACACGGUCCAGACUCCUACGGGAGGCAGCAGUGGGGAAUAUUGGACAAGGGGCGCAAGCCUGAUCCAGCCAUACCGCGUGGGUGAAGAAGGCCUGCGGGUUGUAAAGCCCUUUUGUUGGGAAAGAAAAGCAGCAGGUUAAGACCCCGCUGUUCGGACGGUACCCAAAGAAUAAGCACCGGCGAACUUCGA